rnacentral:rRNA from 1 species
AGAGUUUGAUCAUGGCUCAGAGCGAACGUUAGCGGCGGGCCUAACACAUGCAAGUCGAACGUGAAAAUCCCUUCGGGGGUGAGUACAGUGGCACACGGGUGAGGAACGCGUAGGUAAUCCACCCUCUGGCGGGGGACAACAUUCCGAAAGGGAUGCUAAUACCGCGUAAGACCACGCUCACUACGGUGAAAGUGGUUAAAGGUGCCUCAAAGCACCACCAGAGGACGGGCCUGCGUCCCAUCAGCUUGUUGGUAAGGUAAUGGCUUACCAAGGCUAAGACGGGUAGCUGGUCUGAGAGGAUGAUCAGCCACACUGGCACUGGAACACGGGCCAGACUCCUACGGGAGGCAGCAGUGAGGAAUAUUGGGCAAUGGGCGAAAGCCUGACCCAGCCACGCCGCGUGUGUGAUGAAGGCCUUCGGGUCGUAAAGCACUGUGGGGAGAGACGAAACAGCGCAUCAGGAAAUGGGUGCGCCUUGACGGUACCUCCUUAGCAAGCACCGGCUAACUCUGUGCCAGCAGCCGCGGUAAUACAGAGGGUGCAAACGUUGCUCGGAUUUACUGGGCGUAAAGCGCGUGUAGGCGGACUCGCAAGUCGGUUGUGAAAUCCCUGGGCUCAACCUAGGAACUGCAUCCGAAACUGCUUGUCUUGAGUAAUGGAGAGGGUGGCGGAAUUCCCGGUGUAGAGGUGAAAUUCGUAGAUAUCGGGAGGAACAUCAGUGGCGAAGGC